rnacentral:lncRNA from 1 species
UGUCACCGGGAAUGAGUCAAGUGACAGGUCUGUUACAGACUCGGGGACCUGUAGAUGCACUUGAAGUCACAUUUAACUUAAUGGGGAAGGGAAGAGAGGGAAGGAAGACUGUGAGUGAACUUUUCCUGGAUGUCCCGGGACCAAGAGGGAGAGCUCCUCAAAUGUGACACCCGGGCUCCACAAGGGAGCUCGCCCUUCUCCGCGAACCUCCAAAGAUGCGGGACCACAAGGAGCAGGAGCUCGGGUUCCCCCCGUAAAGGACACUUCCUUUGCUUCGUACGAGUCUUCCCGAGUCAGCAGCUGUCAUGUUUGGAUCAAGAAUGUUUGAAUGGGUGGACACAGUGGACAGGAAGAGGAAGUACAGCAAUAAUGAUAUAAAACAAGGCCAAGUCGUGACACAGGUAAUGAUUAGGGGAUUGUAACACUGAUCAAUAUUGGAAUUGUUACCCUUCUGAGUUGGUUUAUACUGAGUUAAUUUAGGUUGGGCUUAAUCCAAAGUGAUUUUUAACAACAAUGAAGUCUAUUUUGUCUAAGACAUCUAUGUUUCAUAUCUAUUAAGUAUUUAAGGAUGGUGAAUCCUAUUUUAAAAAGAACUAGAGAAACAACUAUCCAAAUCAUUUGUAUCCUUAGAAGUAUACCCUUCAUUUUAAAAAACAAGAGCAUAAGUAAUUGUGAAAGUGUCUACAAAUUCAGGUCAGAAAGAGAUAUUGCAACCUCCUUUUCUCCCAUAAAUUAUCAAUUCAUAUUUUAAGACCCACAUAAAUGUUGCAGAACACAUGGCAUUAGACCCUCCAGGAGUUCUCCUUCCUGGGUUAUAGCACAGUUCUUACAUCUUCUAUAGGACAAAGAUAUUGGGGGAGGCACAUAGGGAUUCUGAGCUUCAGAUUGGUAGCACUGAAAUGCCUGCCACAUGCAUUACCCUUUUGAUAUCGACAGUUUCUUACUGCUUCUGUACAAGUCUGGAGAGACUGCCAGUGCUUCCAUCUGCCUAAGCACCACUCAGCACAUUCCCUGCGGUGCUUCUGAGACUCUGGAUGCAAGUUUCUUCUACUCCAAAGACUCAUAAAUCUCUAUCUUCU